rnacentral:hammerhead_ribozyme from 1 species
AGCCGAAACGCUGGCCGAUCUCGAUCGGCAAGCGUCGCGGCGGGUGGUUCCCGCCGCCUGAUGAUGGCAGCCCAAC